AUUGAACGCUGGCGGCAUGCCUUACACAUGCAAGUCGAACGGCAGCACGGGAGCAAUCCUGGUGGCGAGUGGCGAACGGGUGAGUAAAGUAUCGGAACGUGCCCAGUCGUGGGGGAUAACGUAGCGAAAGUUACGCUAAUACCGCAUACGAUCUAUGGAUGAAAGCGGGGGAUCGCAAGACCUCGCGCGAUUGGAGCGGCCGAUAUCAGAUUAGGUAGUUGGUGGGGUAAAGGCUCACCAAGCCGACGAUCUGCAGCUGGUCUGAGAGGACGACCAGCCACACUGGGAAUGAGACACGGCCCAGACUCCUACGGGAGGCAGCAGUGGGGAAUUUUGGACAAUGGGCGAAAGCCUGAUCCAGCCAUGCCGCGUGCAGGAUGAAGGCCUUCGGGUUGUAAACUGCUUUUGUACGGAACGAAAAGGUUUGGCCUAAUAAGCUGAGCUCAUGACGGUACCGUAAGAAUAAGCACCGGCUAACUACGUGCCAGCCGCCGCGGUAA
rnacentral:rRNA from 1 species